CUGCCUAUCGGUACGGAAUAACUCUGGGAAACCGGAGAUAAUACCGCAUAUACCCUCAGGGGGAAAGUUUUUUCGCCGAUAGAUGAGCCCGCGUCCGAUUAGGUAGUUGGUGGGGUAAAGGCCUACCAAGCCUAUGAUCGGUAGCUGAUCUGAGAGGAUGAUCAGCCACACUGGAAUUGAGAUAAGGUCCAGACUCCUACGGGAGGCAGCAGUGGGGAAUAUUGAACAAUGGGCGAAAGCCUGAUUCAGCAAUGCCGCGUGAGUGAAGAAGGCCUUAGGGUUGUAAAGCUCUUUCGGUGGUGAAGAUGAUGACAUUAACCACAAAAGAAGCCCCGGCUAACUUCGUGCCAGCAGCCGCGGUAAUACGAAGGGGGCUAGCGUUGUUCGGAAUUAUUGGGCGUAAAGAGCGCGUAGGCGGCUCUGUAAGUUAGGCGUGAAAUCCCCGGGCUCAACCCGGGAACUGCGCUUAAUACUGCCGAGCUAGAAUGCAGGAGGGGGUAGCGGAAUUCCCAGUGUAGAGGUGAAAUUCGUAGAUAUUGGGAAGAACACCAGUGGCGAUGCGGCUACCUGGCCUGACAUUGACGCUGAGGCGCGAAAGCGUGGGGAUCGAACAGGAUUAGAUACCCUGGUAGUCCACGCCCUAAACGAUGUGCGCUAGACGUCAGGGGAUACCCUUGGUGUCGCAGCUAUCGCGUUAAGCGCACCGCCUGGGGAGUACGGCCGCAAGGCUAAAACUCAAAGGAAUUGACGGGGGCCCGCACAAGCGGUGGAGCAUGUGGUUUAAUUCGAUUCUACGCGAAAAACCUUACCAGCUCUUGACAUGUUAGCUUGCGUUCUUGGGAGACCAGGAACAUCGGUUCGGCCGGGGCUUUCACAGGUGCUGCAUGGCUGUCGUCAGCUCGUGUCGUGAGAUGUUGGGUUAAGUCCCGCAACGAGCGCAACCCUCGCUUCCAGUUGCCAGCAGGUUUGGCUGGGGACUCUGGAAGGACUGCCGGUUAUAAGCCGGAGGAAGGUGGGGAUGACGUCAAGUCCUCAUGGCCCUUAUGGGCUGGGCUACACACGUGCUACAAUGGCGGUUACAAUGGGUUGCAAUUCCGUGAGGAGGAGCCAAUCCCUAAAAGCCGUCUCAGUUCGGAUUGCACCCUGCAACUCGGGUGCAUGAAGUUGGAAUCGCUAGUAAUCGCGAAUCAGCAUGCCGCGGUGAAUACGUUCCCGGGCCUUGUACACACCGCCCGUCACACCAUGAGAGUUGACUCUACCCGAAGACGGUGGGCCAAUCCUUUCGAGGAAGGUAGCCGGCCACGGUGGGGUUAGCGACUGGGGUGAAGUCGUAACAAGGUA
rnacentral:rRNA from 1 species